rnacentral:rRNA from 1 species
GACGAACGCUGGCGGCGUGCUUAACACAUGCAAGUCGAGCGGAAAGGCCACUUCGGUGGUACUCGAGCGGCGAACGGGUGAGUAACACGUGAGUAAUCUGCCCUUGGCUUUGGGAUAGCCACCGGAAACGGUGAUUAAUACCGGAUAUGACCACUCUAGGCAUCUAGGGGUGGUGGAAAGUUUUUCGGCCAGGGAUGUGCUCGCGGCCUAUCAGCUUGAUGGUGAGGUAAUGGCUCACCAUGGCUUCGACGGGUAGCCGGCCUGGGAGGGUGACCAGUCACACUGGGACUGAGACACGGCCCAGACUCCUACGGGAGGCAGCAGUGGGGAAUAUUGGACAAUGGGCGGAAGCCUGAUCCAGCAACGCCGCGUGAGGGAUGACGGCCUUCGGGUUGUAAACCUCUUUCAGCAGGGACGAAGCGCAAGUGACGGUACCUGCAGAAGAAGCACCGGCCAACUACGUGCCAGCAGCCGCAGUAAGAC